rnacentral:misc_RNA from 1 species
GCAAACUUGGUCAUUUAGAGGAAGUAAAAGUCGUAACAAGGUUUCCGUAGGUGAACCUGCGGAAGGAUCAUUAUUAUUUGGGUCGAGAUUUAAUUCGAGGAGAAUUAAACUUUUACCAAAUAAAUUUUUCUUAAAAUUUAUUUCCUAUUUUAUAUAGGAGCAAGAUGAACUUAUAUUUAAAACCCCACUCUUUAAACAAAUAUAUUAUUAUAUGAAUCAUAAAAAAAAGAUCACUUUCAACAACGGAUCUCUUGGCUCUCGCAUCGAUGAAGAACGCAGC